AUGAUUUUUAAAGAUAUGCUGUGUAAUACAGGAGGGAGUGAGAAUGGGAAAUCCGAUGACUUCAGGAGUUCAAGGAAGAAAUUCAUGGAAGAGAUUGGUGAUGAUGUCAGCAAGAUCUGCAGACCCACACAAGGUCUGCAUGUAGGCUGUGAUUCUGCGGGGCUCUGCUGGAUCGGCUUGCUUGAUUCCAGGCCCAGGUCUGUUGUAUGUAUCUCCUCAUCCUGGGACCAUUGGCUACGCAAGGUUUGAUCUUCUCACGGUCGAUGGCGGAAGUUCAAGAGAUCAAGCUGAGUCACAGAGGCACAUUUAAAGCCUCUGCUUCUAUUGCAUCUACUCACACUACUGGCCACAGCAAGUCACAUGACCAAGACUGACAACCACGGGUCAGAAAGAAUACUCUACCCACAGUGAGAAAAUGUCAAAGGUACAAGGAUGUUUAAUUCUGUAAUGCAGGGAGUGAAAGGUUGGAAACAGUAAGUCAGUCUUUCAUAGUAUUCAAGGAAGUGAGGUACUUCUCCAUUUUUUCAGAAAUCUCAUGUAUGUCUGAGUAUUUUGGUAAUUUUUUUCAAGAAAUCUUUUCUAUUUCCUGUUAGAUUUAUUGCAAAACACCAUUAUCCUUUUUGUCUAAAUUUAAAAAUAAUUUUUUUAAAGUUUAUUUAUAUUUGAGAGAGAGAAAGAGAGACAGACAGACCUUGAGCAGGGGAGGGCAGAGAGACAGAGACAGAAUCCGAAGCAGGCUCCAGGCUCCGAGCUGCAAGCUGUCAGCACAGAACCUGAUGCGGGCCUUGAACCCACGAGCAAUGAGAUCAUGACCUGAGCCAAAGUCAGAUGCUUAACCAACUGAACGCCCCUUGUCUAAAUUUUUACUUAAAAAAUUACAUAUGCAUACAUGGUAAAAACUUCAAAAAGGAGUACUGAAAGAUAUUAACAGUGAACAUAAGGGUGGCCCUUCCCAAGAGGCAAAUCCUGGGUUUCUUUUCAGAGAUAUUCUGUGUGUGUACAAACAACAAACAAAUAUUUUGGUUUUUUUAGUGUUAAGUUUUUAUUUUAAUUCUGGUUGAGUUAACAUACAUAACCAAAUAUUUUCUUACAUUAAAAAAAUACAAAAUGCGGGCGCCUGGGUGGCUCAGUUGGUUAAAUGUCCAACUUCUGCCCAAGUCAUGAUAUCACCGAUCAUGGGUUCGAGCCCUGCGUCGGGCUCUGUGCUGACAGCUCAGAGCCUGGAGCCUGCUUCUGAUUCUGUGUCUGCCUGUCUCUUUCCAUCUCUCAAAAAUGAAUAAAUGUUAAAAAAAAUGUUUUUAAUACA
rnacentral:lncRNA from 1 species